rnacentral:rRNA from 1 species
UGAAUACGAGACGCUAAGGCGUCGAAGUAGUGUAUGUCAUACUUCCAAGAAAAGCUUGCACUGUCAUAGAUAAAAAACGCCUGUACCAUAACCGACACAGGUGGGUAGGUAGAGUAUACUAAGGGGCGCGAGAUAACUCUCUCUAAGGAACUCGGCAAAAUAACUCCGUAACUUCGGGAGAAGGAGUGCCUUAUUCGUAAGGUUGCAAUAACAAGAUCCAAGCAACUGUUUAUCAAAAACACAGGUCUCCGCUAAGUCGUAAGACGAUGUAUGGGGGCUGACGCCUGCCCAGUGCCAGAAGGUUAAAGAAGUUGGUUAGCAAUUGCGAAGCUGAUAACUGAAGCCCUGGUGAACGGCGGCCGUAACAAUAACGGUCCUAAGGUAGCGAAAUUCCUUGUCGGGUAAGUUCCGACCCGCACGAAAGGCGUAAUGAUUUGGAUACUGUCUCGGAGAGGGGCUCGGUGAAAUAGACUUGUCUGUGAUGAUGCGGACUACCUGCACCAGGACAGAAAGACCCUAUGAAGCUUUACUGUAACUUGAAAUUGAAAUUGGACUUUAUUCGCGCAGCAUAGGUGGGAGGCGUUGAUUAUAAUCUUGCGGGAUUAUUGGAGCCAUCAGUGAGAUACCACUCUUGUAAUGUUAGAUUUCUAACUUUGAAUCAUUAUCUGGUCAAAGAACAGUUUCAGGCGGGCAGUUUGACUGGGGCGGUCGCCUCCUAAACGGUAACGGAGGCGUACAAAGGUUUCCUCUGAACGGUUAGAAAUCGUAUCUAGAGUGUAAAGGCAUAAGGAAGCUUGACUGUGAGACCUACAAGUCGAGCAGGGACGAAAGUCGGUCUUAGUGAUCUGACGGUACUGAGCGGAAAGGCCGUCACUCAACGGAUAAAAGUUACUCUAGAUAACAGGCUGAUCUCCCCCAAGAGUUCACAUCGACGGGGAGGUUUGGCACCUCGAUGUCGGCUCAUCGCAUCCUGGGGCGGUAGUACGUCCCAAGGGUUGGGCUGUUCGCCCAUGAAAGCGGUACGCGAGCUGGGUUCAGAACGUCGUGAGACAGUUCGGUCCAUAUCCGGUGUAGGCGUUAGAAUAUUGAGAGGUGCCUUCUUUAGUACGAGAGGACCGAGAAGGACAUACCUCUGGUGUACCAGUUAUCGUGCCAACGGUAAACGCUGGGUAGCUAUGUAUGGAGUGGAUAACCGCUGAAAGCAUCUAAGUGGGAAGCCCACCUCAAGAUAAG